rnacentral:lncRNA from 1 species
GGAGGAGAGGAGAGCCUGCGCCGGCGGAGGGAGGAGGGGAGAGCCGGCGCCGCUCAUCGUCGUCCCCGCGCUCCGCGCCGCCGCCGCCGCUCGGCCCGGAGGAGAGGAGAGCCUGCGCCGGCGGAGGGAGGAGGGGAGAGCCAGCGCCGCUCGUCGUUGUCCCCGCUCUCUGCUCCGCGUCACCGACCUCGGUCACCGGGAAGCUCGUCGCCGCACCGCUUCGAUCUGCGCCGCCACCACUGUCCUCGUCAGAGAAGCUUGCCGGCUCGAUGGGGAAAGCGCGGAGAAGGAGAGGAGCUCGAGGUCGAGGCCGCGUCCGAGCUCGCCGGCGUCCUUACCUUCUUGCCCGCCGUCGUCGCCCCUUGCCGCUUGCGGUCUUGAUCCGUGGAAUGCGAGGAGAUAGGAUAGAGAGAGAGGGAGAAGGAGAGAUGGACGUGAAAAGAGAGAUGGGUGGGACCUACUAACAUGGGUGGGACCCACUAACAUGUAUAUUGCCUGCACUGUGAAAUCCGGUUCUUUGUCUAGCUGGAGGGGUUGAGCUACUCAUGUGCGUUUCCCGCACUGCUACUGGCCUUAUGAGACACUAUUCUCUCCCCAUACAAACUUGAUAGUAUCUAGUGCAUAGGUUCUCGUGUUAAAGCUGUGUCUUGCAUGAGAUCUAGUUUCUUCCUCUCUUCACACUCUCUCUUAAUUAAUAUAGUGUCACAUAAGCUAAAAGUGCUACAUGACAAUAUAGUUAAUGCUAUAGACACCAUUCUAGUUGGAGGGUUGGGACUGCCCUUAGAAUAGAUUUACUGGUGUGCAGCUUUUGUUUCAUAAUAACUCAAAGUCGUGCCAAUAUCACAAGCAAAACGAAACGACUCAUCAUUACGUGAUUAGUUUAGUACAGUAUGAACUAUUUUUUUUAAAAAAUAGAUUAAUAUGUUUUUUAAGCAACUUUUAUAUAGAAAAUUUUUACAAUAAAUACUACUCCUACCAUUUUGUAAUUUGAAAAUCGUGUGCGCGUUGAGAACUCUCAACAAAGAAUACAGCAUUUUUGCUCCACAAAUGAUGACUUAGUAAUAUGUAAAGCAUUUUAUGGUAUCUUCUCGUUGACUUUGUAAAGCAAUUAAAGCAGUCCUAUAAAAUCUUAUUCACCUUCCCAACAUAAUAAUGUACUUCCUCCAUUCUAAAAUAAGCGCAGGCAUAAGUUUCCGUGUCUAACUAAAAUAAAGUUAGACACGGAAACUCAUGGUUAUGCUUAUCGUGAGACAGGGGGAGUAUUAACUCAAUGUAAAGUGUUGACUAUGAGUAUGAUGCGUGAUCAACUUCAUUUUUUAUUCCGCACCAAAAAAACACUUCAUUUAUAAGUAUCAAGGAUAAAACUGUUUCAUUUUUUUUCCCAACUUGCAAUGACACACAUGCACAUAUCACAACACACAUCAUAAGCAUUCAUCGAUAAAUGCAUCCCCUGGUUAGCUGCAAACCCAUGUCUUCAUUAAAUUUCUAGUGAAAAAUAUAAAUAUUUGUGCCACUUGGGAGGUGCCAUAUGCGGUCAACACACAAAUUCAUUACCACCUUUAUCGUGUACUCCCAAAAUUAUUUGAUUUUAUUAAUUAAUAGUUAAAAACAAAAUUAAUCAUUACAAAAUUAUAUGUAGACAUGUUCUAAUACAUUUUAUAUUAAUUUAUGUUUUAUUAAGUUAAUAAUUUAAAAUAUAUAAAUAAAAACUGUAAUACUGUCUCAAAUUGGAAUUUCACUUUAUUAUUUUAUUGGUUAAAUAAUUUUAAAAUUAAAACGUAAUAAGUAUUAUUUGGUCAAAGACUUUGUAAUCGAUAAUGCAAGUGUGCUGCCUGUGGUGGAAUUUCAAAUUAGUGUUUUUAUUUAAUGGUUCCAAAUUCAAGUUUCCGUGUUUUGUAUAUCAUGGAUUUAUUUACUUUAAUUUGAUUAAACCGUUAUAAUUCAGCGCUAGCUCCAUUCAAAUGCAUAGUGAUACACAUUUCUUUGAUUACUCCAAAGUCGAGAGUACUAAUUGUUUUAAUAAUUAAUAUAUGGAACAUAAGUGAAUGACCACGUUGACCGUUUUUUAUACAGUGCACUACAUUUUUUGUUAUAUUUGCACACUUUUGGUCAGUUGUUUUUUCCUCAUAGAUUAUAUUGCUGAUUAUCACAAACACAUUUCACAAGCUUACAAAUAAUUUGAUUUUUAUAAAUAGAAAAAGAUUGUAUAUAAGUUUCAUAUAAUGCUAUUUUAAAUAUCUAUUCAACUUUGUAUGUACUAGUUUUUUUUCUUUUGGGAAAUUAUAAAUACCACAUCAUAAAUCACUUCAAGUUUGAUAUUCCACCCCAUAAGUUAUUUUGUUGCAAAUGUCCAUCCAUAUACUCAAUUUUGUUAAAAAAACACCCAGUGUGUGUAUAUAUAACCAAAUCAACAUGUUAUUCAUAAAGUGUGAGCCAUCGAUGUGGUUUUUACUAAAAUUAAAUACUUUCAUAGUAUAGUCUUGACACUUUUUUCAAUAUUUCACAAAUAGAAUUACUGAUGAAACCUUAAACAUUAUUGUACUGAGUUUCGCUAUAUGAAAAAAAAAAUCCAAUCAAUCACGAAAAAUAAGUCUAAGCAAGUACUUAUAUAAGAUUGACUCGACUAACUUAACAUGUGAUGACUCUACAUAAGCGGUAACGGGCUAAUUCGGUUAAGCAUCUACGCGCUACGGUGGUUUUGCAACAAAACGGGCUAAUUCGGUUAAGCAUCUACUCACUACGGUGGUUUUGCAACAAAACUUAUUAGGAGUGAAUAUUUGUAAUCAAAUGACUUGUGAGAUGGAAUAUUAAACUUUAAGUGUUUUAUGGGUUGGUUAUUGUAAUUUUCUUUUUCCUUUUUUAAGAUAAUCCUGGUAAUUGUGGAUUUCUGUGUCUGUACCCUUGAAAUAUUAAUCAGACAAUAAAAAGGUUUUCUUCCUGGCAAACCAUGUGGCACGUGGCUACUACGUGUCGUCAAAAUGUGCAACACGUUGCUCUUAGGCACCGGAAGCGGGAAAAAAAAAGGAUAAACGACAAGGGCUACGAGAAAAAGGCCUUGUUUUGCAGUCUCCAAAGUGUGGCCACUUUGACCGGGAGGCCAGGGCCGUGAACAUUUUGGGCCGCACCCUCUCCAACCCCUCUUUCUCGUUUUCCACGCGUACGUUUUUUAAACUGCUAAAUGGUAUAUUUUUUUCAAAAAGUUUCUAUAUAAAAGUUGUUUAAAAAAAUCAUAUUGAUUUAUUUUUAAAAAUAAAAUAGUUAAUACUUAAUUAACCACAUGCUAAUAGACUGCUCUGUUUUCCAUGCUGGAGGGUAGUGUUUCCAACCACGAGGAAAGAACACAACCUAAUUAGUGAGGAUCGAGAUAAAUCAGGUGCCUCUAGAAAAGGAAAGGGUCCACUUUCGGUCGCUCAACUAUGUGCCGAUUCCCGUUCCUUAACCAGUGUAAAUCAAAUCCCUCAGUAAUAUUAAAUAUAUCUAUCAACAUUUAAAACCAGUGUAAAUCAAAUCCCCUAAUAAUAUUAAAAACGGUUUUUAUUGAUGUAGCAUCUACGUGGCUCGUUGAUAUAGUCUUAGCAGUCUAUGUAGCGCUUACGUGGCACUAGAAACAAAAAUAAAAAUAAAAAUACCAGUGGGACCCACAUGCCAGUGGCAGACCGAAUAGCAAAACGUUAAACAAUAGGCCUACACAUCGGGACAACGACGACGACGACGGCGUGCACUCAUUGAAGCCAGAGGACGGCCGCACCACGCCUCGUUACCUCCAGGGCGACGACGUUUAAUGGAUGGAGGAGGCAGAGCUCGGUACAACAGACGGUGUGGGCGAUGGUCGAAGCAGAGGAAGAGGAGGGGGAGGACAGAAUCAUGGAUCUCCUCUCCGUGUUCGUGCGCCUCAAUGAGCUCUAAAAAAAUAGGAACCAACGCCUCCACGGGUCUGGUCCAAUUAAAAGACCAUCUGUGUAAUCAAACUGGUGUAAACCGACUAGACUACCCUAUGAAAAUCGACUCCGACCACCAAGCGCCUAUGAAAACCGGCUCCAAAAAUCGGGUUGAACUGACAAAGGCUUGCAUGGAUGACCGAAUAGUAGACAGAAAAUAAGAGAAAAUGGUCCGAGUGGGGAUUCAAACCCUGGUUCUCAGGCAUACAGGCAAGGAAACCUACCUCCAGGCUAUGCUCCUCAUGAUUGAAUGGAAUCAGUUAUUUAUUUAUGGGUUAUUGAACUGCUUUGGACUAGUGGUCACCGGUGAACAAAUGAAACUAUGACCAAGUUGGUUUAAUUGCCAGUCCAGUUUCAAUAACUAUGGUAGCAGCAAUGCAAGCUCCAGGUCCAUCUCUACCUCCCGACUACUUCCUCGGAGCACAUAAAAUUUCUCCUAGAUCUGGCGCACCCCCAUCGAUGCCACGUCAGGUCCACUAUUCCUUCCUUAAAUAGACUGUCGAGCUGUGCGGCCCGGAGGAAUCACCGGAUCGGCUCUAGCAGCGGGUGCUAGAUCCCCUCUUCCACUUUGCUAUGGAGCUCGAGCCACCCGUUGUUUUUGGUGCCGUAGAGAUGGACAUAACCUUGGAGCCGCACAUGAGGCCAGCACGCCAUAGUGCCUCAAGGUCGACGGGGCUUGCUAGCCGCUGCCUGCGAGCGUCCCUUCCGCCGUCCGGCGCAUUGCCAUUCUAUGGCACCGCCACUUGAUGGGCUGGCCACCGAGAGUUUCAAGCUUCUCGCACGCUCGGUGGAGGAGAUAGUGGAGUUGAAGGACUCCUCAAGCUCCUGGGUUGACUGCCCGUCGACCUCCUGUACCGCCGCUACCGCCGUGGCUCUCGGAGCUCCCACUGUUGCCGCUGCCGUAGGGAGAGAAGAGAUAGAGAGGAGAGGGUGAAGAGAGAAAGGGUAGGAUGAAGGGAGAAUGUGAGUUGCAUGGCGCAUACAUGUGGGUCCCAGAUGUUCUCAAUGCGUUUUUUAUUUUUACUAAUCUAGAGCUCGUGCAUGGCAACUGAAAACAAAUUGAGUUUGUAGCUUAUUAAAUCAAUUAAUACGCACUUAUUUAAUCUAAGUAAUACUAUGGCUUUUAAUUUUUGAUUGAACAAGUAGGUGAUUUUGAAAUUUGGGAAGAGCCAAUAGUGAAAUGGGGGGAGGACUUUUUUUUGGAGAGAAAUGGGAGAGGAGUUGUUGAAAGGUGGUGUAAUAUAAUAGGUUGCGGGGCCUAAAUAUUAGUGACGAGGGUGAUGUGGGAUGGACACCACCACUAUUACCAUUUUAAGUAGUAUAGAUUUUUUGCUGACUAGGUUACCACGUAGGCUAGAAGCCACUCUCAAUACCACCAAGGGACUUAGAUUUACACUGGUUUUAGAAGUUGAAGGAUGUGACCUGGUUUUGUGGUUGAAGGACACGAAUAAAACUCGAUCCAUAUUUGAAGGGACCUAAAGUGAACUUUUUCUUUAGAAAAUCACAUAGUCCACAUAUCUAGCCAAGCCCAUUAAGGGUCCGGUGAGAUUGUAAUCAAUUCCAUUGCCCAAACACCAUUAUGGCCCAUAGGCCUGAAGCACAAAAGAUCUUCGAGCUUGCCUGCCUUGCCAGGCCUAGGAUACUGUAUAUUGGGCCUCAUUUCUUCUGUUUCCGAAAGAAAUGCUACCUCCUUCUCC